rnacentral:rRNA from 1 species
AACGAACGCUGGCGGCAUGCCUAACACAUGCAAGUCGAACGAGACCUUCGGGUCUAGUGGCGCACGGGUGCGUAACGCGUGGGAACCUGCCCUUAGGUUCGGAAUAACUCCCCGAAAGGGGUGCUAAUACCGGAUAAUGUCUUCGGACCAAAGAUUUAUCGCCUUUGGAUAGGCCCGCGUUGGAUUAGCUAGUUGGUAGGGUAAAAGCCUACCAAGGCGACGAUCCAUAGCUGGUCUGAGAGGAUGAUCAGCCACACUGGGACUGAGACACGGCCCAGACCCCCACGGGAGGCAGCAGGGGGGAAUAUUGGACAAGGGGCGAAAGCCUGACCCAACAAUGCCGGGGGAGGUAUGAAGGCCUUAGGGUUGUAAAGCUCUUUUACCCGGGAUGAUAAUGACAGUCCCGGGAGAAAAAGCCCCGGCUAACUCCGU